rnacentral:misc_RNA from 1 species
GAUGAAGAACGUAGCGAAACGCGAUAUGUAAUGUGAAUUGCAGAAUUCAGAGAAUCAUCGAAUCUUUGAACGCACAUGGCGCCUUCCAGUAUCCUGGGAGGCAUGCCUGUCCGAGCGUCGUUUCAACCCUCGAGCCCUCGUGGCCCGGCGUUGGGGAUCUGCCACGGCAGGCCCCGAAAUACAGUGGCGGACCCGUUAGGCCCUUCCUUUGCGUAGUAGCAUCAGCCUCGCAUCGGGAGCCGGCGGGCUCUCCUGCCUCUAAACCCCCCAACAAGCCCGCUCCGGCGGCACCAAGGUUGACCUCGGAUCAGGUAGGAAUACCCGCUGAACUUAAGCAUAUCAAUAAGCGGAGGA